CACAGGAUCGACAUGCAGAGGCCAUAAGACAUGCUGAGGAGAUGAAAGAUCAUAUGCAAAAGUAGAAUUCUACCCUCAGAGAAAAUAGCGCUAAAAGUUCAACAUGCCAGAUGGGAAGAAACCAUUAAACAGCAAGUGGCCCAAAUUCAAGAUCUUCAGAGCAACUUGUUAAGGAUAAGUUUGAGGAACUUCAGCGGGGGGCUGGAUUGCAGCCACUGUCGCUGAAGGGGAAAAGGGUUCUUGGAGCCAUUUUUCAAGACCAGGUGGUGAAUACCCGACAGUACUUGGAACAUGUGAAAGACUCCACAACAGGAAUGCAAGGUAGAGUGGUGAAGCUAUUCACCAACCAUUUCCGAGUGACCUCUCGCCCUCAACUCCUCACGUAUAAGUACAACAUUGAUUACAUGCCAGAGGUUGAAGAUGGAAAAGUUCGUACAGAUUUGCUCUGCCAGCAUAAACAUGUAAUUGGAGAGUGUCCCACAUUAGAUGGGAACUCUUUAUUACUGCCUCAUAAACUACAAAAGCAGGAAUUUUGAAGAUGAUGGAUUUGAAGCAAGUUGGUCGCAACUAUUACAACGAGAAUGAGGCCACGGAGUUCCUCAAUCACCAGACAUUUUAAGCUGAAGAGCGUGGAUGUAAAGCUGCUUGGCCAGCAUCAUCUUAGGAGUCCUCGACUUUAUUCUUGCUUCCCAAUUUCAAAAUUUACGACAAAGCUCUCGGAAUCAGGACAGUGGGAUACUGCAAGAGUUUCAAGACCGCUUUCUUGGGGAAGGAAUACUCGUUUCCUCAAAUAUUGCUGGGACCACUGGAUAUCCACCUGGCCAUUCCUCACAGAAGAUACAAAAUUAACUCCAAUUUGUCCCCCAAAUUAACUAAAAAU